GUCCUUUUCCGUCGAGCUGCGAAAAGAUGGUCGGGUUUGCUCUUCCUACGCUGGCUGUCAUGCCAUUGAGGGCAACGUGUGAACUGUUGCAACCUUGUCAGAGCAGGCGGAUCCUCUGGGGCUCUUCCGCCUCUGAAAAGAUGGGGUGGGUGAGACUGUGAUGAAUCCGGUUGAGUAGUUGAACUGGACUGAUGGAGAAGAGAUGGUGUCUUAGGUCUUGAAAAACGGACCUCUUGUUCCACUGAAAUGCCUGGACAUGUGCAGAUCGAAUGUCACAGAUUUGCUCAGAUUCGGAGGUUUGAAAGAAUGCUGUGGAGCAUGGAUGACCCCUCUAGACGAACACCUCCUGAAAGAUGCGGUUCAGAGAUUCUGGAUGCCGUCUCGUAGCUGGCCUGAGCUACAAGAGAGCAGCUGAGAUUUCAAAUGUCUUCAAGCUGAAAUAACUGGAGCUUAUUGUUGCACUAAUAAAUAUAUCGUUUGCACCAUGGCAAAAUCAAGUAGAUGUUAAUGAAUUCCCUCCACUCCAUCUCAUCUUCAGGAUCCCUAGCAGGCUGGUGAUGGCAAGAGCCAGUGUGGUAUACUUUGAGGUUCAGAUCUUGUCUUGUGAUCGUUCACAUUCAUCCUCACCUACCUCAAAAGCAUUUAGGGUAACACGGAGAAAGAUGGAGGCCACCUUGAGCCCUGGGGCAGGGUAAACAAUGCAGUACAUAAAAUAAACUGAUUGUCUAGAUUUUCUAA